rnacentral:rRNA from 1 species
CAAUAAGCGGAGGAAAAGAAACUAACCAGGAUUCCCUCAGUAACGGCGAGUGAAGAGGGAGGAGCCCAGCACCGAAGCCUGCGGCAGGUUUGCUGUUAGGCAAUGUGGUGUGCGGGUCGGCUGGCGGGACUGUGGUUCCACCCGAAGUCCAGCAUUGAGUAUGGUAACCACUGGAAUUGGCCCAUAGAGGGUGAGAGGCCCGUGCGGGUGGAAGUUCAGACAUGUGAGACGGUUCACCAGGUCGACCUCAGAGUCGGGUUGUUUGAGAUUGCAGCCCAAAGUGGGUGGUAGACUCCAUCCAAGGCUAAAUACAGGCACGAGUCCGAUAGCGAACAAGUACCGUGAGGGAAAGUUGAAAAGUACUCUGAAGAGAGAGUAAACAGUACGUGAAACCGCAUGCAGGUAAACGGGUGGCGUCAAGCUGCAAGCCCGGAGGAUUCAGCUGGCUGGGUUGUAAUGCGCGUGCGCCAUUGAGUCUGUGGUGGCCGCUGCACAAGCGGUUGCACAGGCAGGAUGUGCUGUGCGUCGAUGGUGACGGCGACGGCGAGUGGUGCAUCCCUGAUGUGGGGAUGAGGCGCGGCUGUAUCCUAUCUGUCUUUCCGCUGUCGGUCUGUCGGUCGGUCGGUCGGUGGGUCGGUGGGUCAGUCGCUGCUAUGCGUGCUAAUUGGUUGGUUGGAGGCCGGAGCAUACUACUCGUCUGUGAGGCCGCUCAGUCAGUGCAUUUUCUCUGUGGUGAACAUCACGACCGGUGGUAUUGCCAGUCUGCCGCGGUCAAGUCGCGUCUUCCUGGCAGCUCGGUGGUCGGCUGGCGGAUCAAAUCGGCUAGCUGGUCACCUGGUGGUUAGCCUGGUGGGCGCGAUCGCAGACAGUACGAGUGGACGGCGCGGUGACGCUGCGGUGCUGCUGCGUGCUAUCGUGCACUCACUGUCAACGAGUCGUUGUGUGCUGCCUGUGCAAGCAUCAGUGGGUCGGCGGACCGCGGUGGUAAAGGUGACUGUGCAAGGCACCGAGUUUCUCCACCCCAAGGCCUCUUUGGUGAGGUCAGGGUGUCCGGCACGCACACGUGUCACAGAUGCUUGUUCUGUUCUGUUCUGUUCUGUUCUGUUCUGYUCUGCAGUGCAGUGCAGUGCAGUGCAGUGCAGUACAGGGCGUUGCAUGGCUUUGAAUAGGGGCGCGCCGUCUCCCGUGGGCGCUGGGCAUGACUGUCGUGUCGCUCGUUAAACGGCGGGUCCGGCAGUGGUCUAGCGUGUUGCGGCGUAGUAUGCUGCGUGGCUCCAUCAAGUGCGUGUGAUACCGGGGGUGAGAUAGUCUGUGGUGNNNNNNNNNNNNNNNNNNNNNNNNNNNNNNNNNNNNNNNNNNNNNNNNNNNNNNNNNNNNNNNNNNNNNNNGGUCCUACGAAACCCCCAGGCGCAGUGAAAGUGAAGUUCGCGUCGUGCGUGCGUGCAUGCGUGCGGUACGGCGCGGUGAGGUGAGAUCCAACCCUAAGUCGGUCUUGCGUGCGUGCGUGCGUGCGUGCGUGCGUGCGUUUGAUUGGUCGGUGGGUGGGCGCAUCACCGGCCCGUCUCAUGAUGUGGUUGUUGGUAAUGGCGUUGCUUGGCUGCGUGCGUGCGUGCGUGCAUGCGUGCGUGCGUGCGUGUGCUUAGUAUCGCCGGCCGAUGCGUCAUCGGGGCGGAGCAUGAGCGCACAUGUUGAGACCCGAAAGAUGGUGAACUAUGCUUGCGUAGGUUGAAGCCAGAGGAAACUCUGGUGGAGGACCGUAGCGAUUCUGACGUGCAAAUCGAUCGUCAAACGCGAGUAUAGGGGCGAAAGACUAAUCGA